rnacentral:piRNA from 1 species
UGACUUCACAGUUGGUAACAGCUUGUUAGC